GAACGAGUCCAGCGCGUCCCAGCUGAAGCUUUUGGUUAGUUUUUUGGUGACAACUGGUUUGCUCUGGGUCUGCCACGUCGUCCAGAUUGUCCUGAUCGUUCAUGUUCAUCUGUUUGGGGACCAGCGGUCACUGCUUCGCCACCACCUCCGUUCGCUGGGUUUACCACUGUUAUAGAGCUUGCGUAUCCAUUGCUUCUACGGUCUUGUCGUAGUCCAUAGCGGCGUUCAAGGCCCCGCCAGCGGUCGGAAGAAAUCCCAGCUCGGUGCCGAUGUUGGUCCUAUGUGGUUCCGGAAUCGUACUCCUGCGACACGACCCAGACGUUCCGCAAACAAAACGCGAAAAGGGGCAAAAUAGCAAAAUUGAACCCUCUGCCCCGAUGACGGUCGGUUUGCGUGUGGCUGGCAGAAGUGCUUUUUCCGUCGUCAAAAUCCGCUCCUUCCGCCCGUUCCGGAAGUUCUCCGGCUGCACCAGCAGCGGCCCAACACGGUUCAGGUCCAGCGGGUGGUCACGGCAUCGGAAGACAAAUAAGUCUAAAUUGCGAAAAACUCUUCACGCUAACCAUUCGAUCUCAAUUUUUGAGAAAAACGUCGCAAAAACGAGAUCGAUUCUGCCAACUCAAUUUUUGCGAUCAGUUUCUUUUGUUUACAUUCGCAAUUUUGAGUUGGCAAGAGCGAACUCAGCGUUGAGAUGACUGUUAGCGGUUUUCAAUCAGUCUUCUGCAGUUUGUCAGUGGUCGCUGUCAAGAUCAAACCACGUGGAAGUUUGGUCCUUGUUUAUAAGAGAAAUUUGUGAAAUUGCGUGAAUUAGUAGUAUGAAAAUUUGUACAGCUUGUACUCCCGGCAGCGGUUUGUCCGCGUCCCAGCCAGUCCGUGUUUCGGCAACUCGUCCGCGUUCCAGAAGGUGGGAAGUUCAUCCUCCCGGUAGUGGUUAGUAUGCGUCCCAGCAGCGGCCCGCGUUUCGGCAACUAGACCACGAUCCGGAGGGUCGUUCUUCCGGCAGUAGUUUGUGCGCGUCCCAGCAGCGGCCCCAUUCCGGAGGGUCGUCCUCUCGGCAGCUGUCCGCGUUCCGGCAAUUCGACCUUGUUCCUUAGGGUCCGCUUUGUCCUCUCGGCUGUAGAUUUGUCAGUAACUUAAUAUUUAUUUCAUGUAAAAUGGUAAAAAUGCUUCAAAUAAAGAGAAAACUUUUCGAUUUUCA